CAGAGGGUGCAAGCGUUAAUCGGAAUUACUGGGCGUAAAGCGUGCGUAGGCGGUUUCGUAAGUUCGGAUGUGAAAGCCCCGGGCUCAACCUGGGAAUUGCAUUCGAGACUGCGAAGCUCGAGUGCGGAAGAGGGAAGUGGAAUUUCCGGUGUAGCGGUGAAAUGCGUAGAUAUCGGAAGGAACAUCAGUGGCGAAAGCGACUUCCUGGUCCAGCACUGACGCUCAGGCACGAAAGCGUGGGGAGCAA
rnacentral:rRNA from 1 species